rnacentral:rRNA from 1 species
UACGUAGGCGGAAUAUUAAGUCAGUGGUGAAAUCCUGCAGCUUAACUGUAGAAUUGCCAUUGAUACUGAUCUUCUUGAAUUUAGUUGAGGUGGGCGGAAUGUGUAAUGUAGCGGUGAAAUGCUUAGAUAUUACACAGAACACCGAUCGCGAAGGCAGCUCACUAAACUAACAUUGACGCUAAGGUACGAAAGCGUGGGGAGCGAACAGGAUUAGAUACCCUGGUAGUCC